rnacentral:rRNA from 1 species
GGCUACGGCCGUGGCGCGCUGAUACACCCGAUCCCGUGAUCUCGAAAGUUACGCAACGUGUAGUCGUGUCAGUACUUGGAUGGGAGAUUACCAAAGAAGAUUGGAUGUUGUAGCCG